rnacentral:rRNA from 1 species
UACGUAGGGUGCAAGCGUUGUCCGGAAUUAUUGGGCGUAAAGAGCUCGUAGGCGGUCUGUCGCGUCUGCUGUGAAAAUCCAGGGCUCAACCCUGGACCUGCAGUGGGUACGGGCAGACUAGAGUGGCGGUAGGGGAGAUCGGAAUUCCUGGUGUAGCGGUGAAAUGCGCAGAUAUCAGGAAGGAACACCGGUGGCGAAGGCGGAUCUCUGGGCCGUAACUGACGCUGAGACGCGAAAGCGUGGGGGAGCGAACAGGG